rnacentral:rRNA from 1 species
CCUACGGGAGGCAGCAGUGGGGAAUAUUGGUCAAUGGGCGCAAGCCUGAACCAGCAAAGUAGCGUGAAGGAAGACUGCCCUACGAGUUGAAAGCUUCUUUUAUAAAGAAAUAGAGUAAGACACUUGUUCCUUUUUGAAUGUACUUUAUGAAUCAGGAUCGGCCAACACCGUUCCGUCAGCCGCGGUAAUACUGCGGAUCAGAGCGUUAUCGGGAUUUCUUGGGUUUAAAGGGAGCGUAGAUGGGUUGUUAAGUCAGUUUUGAAAGUUUGCGGCUUAACCGUAAAAUUGCCAUUGAUACUGGCAGUCUUGAGUACAGUUGAGGUAGGCGGAAUUCGUGGUGUAGCGGUGAAAUGCUUAGAUAUCACGAAGAACUCCGAUUGCGAAGGCAGCUUACUAAACUGCCACUGACAUUGAUGCUCGAAAGUGUGGGUAUCAAACAGGAUUAGAUACCCGGGUAGUC